rnacentral:rRNA from 1 species
GAUGAACGCUGGCGGCGUGCCUAAUACAUGCAAGUCGAGCGAACGGACGAGAAGCUUGCUUCUCUGAUGUUAGCGGCGGACGGGUGAUUAACACGUGGAUAACCUACCUAUAAGACUGGGAUAACUUCGGGAAACCGGAUCUAAUACCGGAUAAUAUUUUGAACCGCAUGGUUCAAAAGUGAAAGACGGUUUUGCUGUCACUUAUAGAUGGAUCCGCGCUGCAUUAGCUAGUUGGUAAGGUAACGGCCUACCAAGGCAACGAUGCAUAGCCGACCUGAGAGGGUGAUCGGCCACACUGGAACUGAGACACGGUCCAGACUCCUACGGGAGGCAGCAGUAGGGAAUCUUGCACAAUGGGCGAAAGCCUGAACGAGCCACGCCGCGUGAGUGAAGAAGGUCUUCGGAUCGUAAAACUCUGUUAGUAGGGAAGAACAUAAGUGUAAGUAACUGUUCACGUCUUGACGGUACCUAAACAGAAAGCCACGGCUAACUACGUG